UGUCCCUUCUCCCCAUAUUUUCCCGUGCAACCUUAUCUCCUCCCCCCCCCCUGUUUUGCAUUUUUUCAGUCACCAGCGACCCACUUGCGCCACCGUUCCCUACUAUCGUCUCUCUCCCUCUCUCUUUGUUUCCGUUUUUGGUGACUGCAAGGGCCACAAUGGAGCCACGACCUCACCUAAAUCGAAGUAGUCGCGACUCCAGCCACUAAAAAUGCGCUCAACGAGCCUUCAUUGCGCCACCCACGCCAUCGCGCCGCUAGUCACUUCCUCUCUUCCUCAGCUCGAUCACGCGCCACUGCUUCUUGGUCGCUUCCCUCUGUUUUCGUUUAGGCAAGCAACAGCACCACCAAUCGCCACCGCUCGACGUCGCGCCUCCUCGCCGUGACCUCAGUGAGCUUUGUAGCUCUGGCAACUAACGACUCCUCUGUUUCAGCCGACACAGCGGUUCGUUUGCUCUCUCUCACUAUUCCGGCAAACACAACCACUUUCGCCAUAAACUUCAGCCAAGUAAUUUUCGGCGACAUUGAGUUUUGGAUUGGUCGUCCCUAUCUACUGCUCCUUCUAGUUAGAAUCCGAGUUAGAGCUUCUUCUUUCUUCUACCACUAAUUGGGAUGAAGUGGGCCACCAUAGUUUUGUGAGGGCGGUUUGCGAUACUGUCAGCCGUGUAUGGGGAGAUCAGUGCCCUCAUGUGCACCUAAUGUUAUAUGAUAUGGAAAAACCACGAGGUGGCUGCCUGUUGAUAUGAAAAAAAAAGAGAGUAUAUAAAAAGUAAAAUAUGGGGGAGGGCUGGUCAAGUGAGAAUCAGACCAGUCGGCCAGGUAUGGGAGAUCGGCUCUCUGGUGCACACGUUUGAGAGGGCAGGCCAUGUGAGAGGACGGCUCAUUGGUUUUUCGAUGGCGCCAUUGACUAAUUUUCACUUGCUUGGUUAUUUGAAGGAAAUAGAAGCUUGUCGACUUACUAAAGCUCUACAAUCUUCUCCACAGGGCUAUAAAAGUAAAUUUCUAAUUUAUGCAAUUAGUUAAUUUGUGUAUUGUAAUACGUAUAAGUUCAUUACUUUAAAUCAUACUAUUAUUGAACUCGCAGUUGAAGGAUUUGCAUAUAUCUAACCUGGUCUUUAAACAUGUGUGCUAACCUAUGAAUGUUCUUAUUGUUUAUUUAAAUACAUAUGAAUCAGUAGCCC